CAUAAAAAAUAAUGCAAAGAAAUAUUAACAAAAUUUAUUUCCCAAAUAAUGCUCAAUGUACUUUUUGAAUGCAAUGAGAUGAACAAUAUGUUGCAGUUAUAGAAAAAUGCUUUUUCACUAAAAGCUUAUUUUGCUGCUGCUCAGAUUACUUCACCUGGCUUCAUUCCACUAUUCCAAACCCUGUAAUAGGACUGGAUUCAAAUAUAUCCAGGAUGUGGAAUUUAUUUAAGAAAUUGCAUAAUGUGAUAGUUAGUUGUCAACAUUGCUAUCCCUGAUGUAUGAGAUAAUAAACAGAUCAAACCCAUGUGUUACUGUGUAUUAUUCCAGUGGUCCAUUUUAGUUUCAAUGGACACAAACAAAAUUGAGAAUAUCAGAUUAUAUACAUACAACUAAAGUCACUACACAAUUGGGACUUUAUCAUGUUUUAUACCAGUAGAUCCAGGUUGAGAACAGUAGAGACUAAAUAAAAAUAAAGGCCCCUGUGAAAUUUAGAAUACAAUGUAAAAUAGAGGUUUUGUUCAAUUUAAUAUUAUCUCCUUUUUAUGGCAGCAGGUCAAGAGUGCUGACAGAAAAAGUAGGCCGAGAGUAUUUUUAGACUUAAUAAUGGAAAUACAAUGCUAUAAUCCAAAGCAUCAGUCAAUUCCUUAUUUGUAUUUUUGUUCUCUGUUCCUCAACCAGCAUUUUGAAAGACCAGAUACCGGGUAGGGACUACCAGAGGAACUGAGAUAAGGAUGGGGACUUCCACUGUCGAGGCCAACAUUGACUGCGCCUCCUUAACUUCCUUUGAGAAAAUGAUAGUAGUGAGCUACCUUCUUGCACUGAUACAGACCUUCCAGUGAAGAUAUUCCCACAAUGCUAUCGGGGUGUUCCAGGAUUCACACCAGCAACGGUGAAGGAACAGCAAUAUAUUUCUUAGUCACGAUGUUACUCAGUUUGGAGUGGAAUCUGCAGGUUCUUUUGAAGAUCCUGACCUGGAGUUACGCUCUGACUUCGGUUCUUUGCGGAAAUGGGACCCGCUCUCAGGGCAUCAUGCAGGCCACUUUUUGAUAUGCCAAGGAUGCAGCCUGGAAGUCUAGCAUGCCUUCAAGGUGCUGGAUUUUUGUGGCUCUGGAGCAGGUGGAUUCAAGGCCAUUGUGGCCAGCUGAUGUGCUGUGGGAGAUGGAAGAUUGAAAUGCAGCGGGCUGGCUGCUGGCUGUGUGCCUAGAGACCCGUGUUCUUUGGGCACAGAGCUUGACAGAGGUGAUGCAAACAGUCUUUUAACACCAUAAAUCAGUGAGUUGCUUUUUUAUGUCUCCCCUCUUGCUGUGAAAUGGGGGACACCUCUUUUUCCCUUAAUAGGGGAAGAGAGAGCCUGUGGUACGUCAAAUCUGGGUGAAAGAAUAGGCUUUGGGGUACUGCAAGUCUGUGUCUUUACUGAUGG